rnacentral:rRNA from 1 species
AGAGUUUGAUCCUGGCUCAGAACGAACGCUGGCGGCGUGUCUUAAGCAUGCAAGUCGAGCGGCAAGGCGGGGCAACCCGCCCUAGAGCGGCGGACUGGUGAGUAACACGUGGGUGAUCUGCCCUUGGAUUGGGGAUAGCCAUUAGAAAUAGUGGGUAAUACCGAAUACGACCGCGAGGUUGCGACCUUGCGGGGAAAGGCGCUACGGCGCCGUCCGAGGAUGAGCCCGCGGCCCAUUAGCUAGUUGGUGAGGUAAUGGCCCACCAAGGCGAUGAUGGGUAGCCGGCCUGAGAGGGUGUACGGCCACACUGGGACUGAGAUACGGCCCAGACUCCUACGGGAGGCAGCAGCUAAGAAUAUUCCGCAAUGGACGAAAGUCUGACGGAGCGACGCCGCGUGGAUGAAGAAGGCCGAAAGGUUGUAAAAUCCUUUUGUUGGGGAAGAAUAAGCGUGGGAGGGAAUGCCCGCGUGAUGACAUGAACCGGCGAAUAAGCCCCGGCUAACUACGUGCCAGCAGCCGCGGUAACACGUAGGGGGCAAGCGUUGUUCGGAAUUACUGGGCGUAAAGGGCAUGUAGGCGGUUUUGUAAGCCUGGCGUGAAAUUCUGCAGCUUAACUGUAGGACUGCGCUGGGAACUGCGAGACUGGAGUCACGGAGAGGGAGCCAGAAUUCCAGGUGUAGGGGUGAAAUCUGUAGAUAUCUGGAAGAAUACCAAUGGCGAAGGCAGGCUUCUGGCCGAUGACUGACGCUGAGGUGCGAAAGCGUGGGUAGCAAACAGGAUUAGAUACCCUGGUAGUCCACGCGGUAAACGAUGCACACUAGGUGCCGGGGCGGACGCUUCGGUGCCGGAGCCAACGUGGUAAGUGUGCCGCCUGGGGAGUAUGCUCGCAAGGGUGAAACUCAAAG